GACGAACGCUGGCGGCGUGCUUAAAACAUGCAAGUCGAACGGACUUCUCAUGAAGCUUGCGAUUGAGAAGUUAGUGGCGGACGGGUGAGUAACGCGUGGGCAACCUGCCCCUGAGCCCGGGAUAACAGUUCGAAAGGACUGCUAAGACCGGAUAUACUUGCGGUGAAGCAUUUCACUGCAAGGAAAGGGAACGCUCAGGGAUGGGCCCGCGUCCCAUUAGCUAGUUGGUGAGGUAACGGCCCACCAAGGCGACGAUGGGUAGCCGGCCUGAGAGGGUGAACGGCCACACUGGGACUGAGACACGGCCCAGACUCCUACGGGAGGCAGCAGUUGGGAAUCUUCGGCAAUGGGCGCAAGCCUGACGGUGCGACGUCGCGUGGAGGAUGAAGGUCUUCGGAUUGUAAACUCCUGUCAUGUGGGAUAAAUGGCCAGGGCAUGAAUAGUGCCUUGGAAUGAUAGUACCACAGGAGGAAGGGCGGUAACUCUGUGCC
rnacentral:rRNA from 1 species